rnacentral:lncRNA from 1 species
GGGGCCGCAGUGCGGUGGGGCCAGUCACUUUAAAAAGUUUACCCUACACAGUUUUGCCGAUGUCUAUUUGCUCUAGUGGUAAGGACAUUGGCAUUGCUGGCUGAGGUUCCGUGUUCGAGUCCUCUUACCAGCAUGGUGGUACUGUGCCUCUCCAAAAAAAUCCCUCCAUACGUGUAGGGCCAAGCGGUGUAUACUAACCCGUAGGGCCAGGCCGGAGGUGGGGUUUCUGGAGUAUGGGGCCGCAGUGCGGUGGGGCCAGUCACUUUAAAAAGUUUACCCUACACAGUUUGCCGAUGUCUAUUUGCUCUAGUGGUAAGGACAUUGGCAUUGCUGGCUGAGGUUCCGUGUUCGAGUCCUCUUACCAGCAUGGUGGUACUGUGCCUCUCCAAAAAAUCCCUCCAUACGUGUAGGGCCAAGCGGUGUAUACUAACCCGUAGGGCCAGGCCGGAGGUGGGGUUUCUGGAGUAUGGGGCCGCAGUGCGGUGGGGCC